rnacentral:rRNA from 1 species
GCACUGACUGCUAUCGGAUUGAUACUAAGCCAUGCGAGUCUUGUAGUAAUACAAGGCAGACGGCUCAGCAACGCGUAGUCAACCUAACCUAUGGACGGGGAUAAUCUCGGGAAACUGAGCAUAAUACCCGAUAGAACAUUAUGCCUGGAAUGGUUUAUGUUCCAAAUGAUUUAUCGCCGUAGGAUGGGACUGCGGCCUAUCAGUUUGUUGGUGAGGUAAUGGCCCACCAAGACUAUUACAGGUACGGGCUCUGAGAGGAGUAGCCCGGAGAUGGGUACUGAGACACGGACCCAGGCCCUAUGGGGCGCAGCAGGCGAGAAAACUUUGCAAUGUGCGAAAGCACGACAAGGUUAAUCCGAGUGGUUUCUGCUAAAGGAACCUUUUGACAGUCUUAGAAACACUGUUGAAUAAGGGGUGGGCAAGUUCUGGUGUCAGCCGCCGCGGUAAAACCAGCACCUCAAGUGGUCAGGAUGAUUAUUGGGCCUAAAGCAUCCGUAGCCGGCUCUGUAAGUUUUCGGUUAAAUCUGUACGCUCAACGUACAGGCUGCCGGGAAUACUGCAGAGCUAGGGAGUGGGAGAGGUAGACGGUACCCCGGUAGGAAGGGGUAAAAUCCUUUGAUCUAUUGAUGACCCCCUU